AGUGAACGCUGGCGGUAGGCCUAACACAUGCAAGUCGAACGGCAGCACAGUAAGAGCUUGCUCUUACGGGUGGCGAGUGGCGGACGGGUGAGGAAUACAUCGGAAUCUACUUUUUCGUGGGGGAUAACGUAGGGAAACUUACGCUAAUACCGCAUACGACCUACGGGUGAAAGCAGGGGAUCUUCGGACCUUGCGCGAUUGAAUGAGCCGAUGUCGGAUUAGCUAGUUGGCGGGGUAAAGGCCCACCAAGGCGACGAUCCGUAGCUGGUCUGAGAGGAUGAUCAGCCACACUGGAACUGAGACACGGUCCAGACUCCUACGGGAGGCAGCAGUGGGGAAUAUUGGACAAUGGGCGCAAGCCUGAUCCAGCCAUACCGCGUGGGUGAAGAAGGCCUUCGGGUUGUAAAGCCCUUUUGUUGGGAAAGAAAAGCAGCGGGUUAAUACCCCGCUGUUCUGGCGGUACCCAAAGAAUAAGCACCGGCUAACUUCGUG
rnacentral:rRNA from 1 species